UAAGAGCAUGCGUACAUGGAUGAUACAAUGUGAUACACCGUAGGGCGUUGGUUUACGAGAACAUUGAAUUAUACUAUAAACUCGUUAUCUAUUGUUCCUUUCUAGAUUAGUUCAAUUCUCUACUAUUGUGACAUUGAAUCAAAUUGACGUGAGAGAUUUGAAGAUAGAAGUUUGCUUACUCUAACUUAGAUAGUUGACGUAUAUGAUUGUCUUUUGAAUUCAAUCUUUAUGAAUUUAUUGUUCAGAUAAUGAUUUCAAGUUAGAGUGGUUAAAUAAUACUAAUUGAAUCAUAGACUAUAGUACCGAAACAUCAAAGGAUUCUUAGAAAUUUUUUUGAUUGAAUUGAAGUAAGUAAUCUGGUGACUGCUGAAAUCAUUAGUCUCCCACGCUAAUGCCAUUUCCCGCUUAUGUGAAUUUUUCCGGUGACUUCAAAUAACAACAACAUUGACCUGGUCAGAGGAUCCAUUGAAUGCAUGUGGUUAGACCAGAUUGUGGUUGCCUAUUAUUACACAAGGCUACCAGAUUUCACUGCAUUCUGAUUAUAUAAUCAUGUACUCAAUAUGACACCAUGUAAACUACAUAAUUAACAUCGAGCGAACUUUAUAACGGUGAAGAUUUUUUUAACUUCUAAAUGAUACGAGCAACACUUGGAGUAGAAACAAAACUCAAUAGAUGGUGGCCUUCAGUAGACUUCCUCGUCCUUCCUAUGAAUAUCCUCGUUCCUUCUGUCAAGAAUCUGCUCCAUGUGUCUUACCCGUAUUUGCUGAAUUCCCAAUGUUGACCAGAAAUCGUCAUGGACCCAAACAUAGAAAAUUUAAACAUUCCCUCAUAAUUUCACAGUUUAAGUAUAAUUAUAAACCAUCUGUGCCUGCUUCUUGGUAUUUUUGUUUCUACA